rnacentral:lncRNA from 1 species
GGAGGGUGACAGGCGCUUUGUCUCAGCUUUGCCCAGGAUUCGAUUUCGGGUGAAAUUGAGGACAGCCUGCGGGAACGAAGGGAAUGCUUGUGGACGUUGGCGGAAGUUCAGCACCCGCUUUCUCGGACUCUCAAUGCAGUGCGGCUGGCCGUCUCGUCACCUCUGCAAGUUUCCUUGCCACAGGCUCGAAUUUCGGGCGUUCGUCUCGUCGCUGGCGCCGACGCUGCGCCGGCUUCGUUUUUCCUGGGGGGGCUCUUCACGGCUCCGGGUGGGAGGAUCACACGAAGUUUUCUUAGUUUGUGGCAGCGACAGGAAGAUGUCACGAUAACGGUUGCAGGAUCAACCAGGGGGCAGUUGCAGAGACGCUUUCUCACUGGCGGUGAUUGACCUGUCUGCUCUUCUGGGGACUGUGCGCGUUUCACAAGUUCCGAGGCGGAGCUUCUGCGCUCGCCAGGAGGCCUGCCACCCCGCGAUGAGACAUGCAAAUGGAGGAGCACUGCAACUGCUCGAGCUCACAGAGCGGAGAAGGAGCCCGCGUUCAGAUGCGGAAGAGCGAACGCUGUGCGACUUGCACCGAAGAAGAGAGACACGAGAGUGCGUGGUGUAGCGUGAACGAUCUGAAAAACGCAUGUAUGCAAGCUUUGCAGACGUCCUGAUGUUCGGAAAGGGGACGGGGGGGGAGGGGGGGGAGCAGCCUCCUCCCUCGUGUUGGUGUGGACUGGAAAUCCGGAUAUAAAACGCGUGUAUUCUGCUUCUGGCGCGGAUGCGAGGCAGUGAAAAAAAGCUACGGUGCGAGAGGGGCGAGAGCUUUUAGAAAUGCAAAACUCAGGGGUCUCGAAAUUGCGCAGAACGACUUCGAGAGAAAGUGUUCAGCCGCUGCCAACUGAGUUUGGCCUGCGCACCAUUCAGUCAACCAGUCAACGCUGUGCCGAG